AACUGUAAGAUGCUUUUUGACCAAACUGUGUUUAUUCAGGGACUGACCUCAAACCCUGCAGUGACUCAGUCUGAUCCAGAAACCAGUCAGGGCACGGCUGAGCCUGGAGAUGGAGUCUGCUACGCCUCCGUUAGCUACACCAGGAACACCAACAGGAGAGAUCGGGCUCAGGGAAAAGAUGGAGAUGACGAUGAUGAUGAAGCAGUGACCUACACCACCAUCAAAGCUUCCUCUCUUUCUGCUGCAGCGUCUGCUGAUCCCAGCGACCUGUACGCCAGCGUCAACAAACCAAAGAAAUAAGAGGCCACAGUGUCGUCACAGCUCAUGUUGCUCCACUUGUUUUACAUUGAUAAUGGAUUUUAGUAAAUGCUUGAUGAUCAUUUGGAGGAUUUUUUGCUGUAACAAGCCUUUUAUCCAGUACGAGUUGCAGUAGUUUAACUAGCAGCACAUUAGCACAGUAUUACGUGGCAGCUUGAAAUGUAAACGAGCUAAUGAGAUAAUAUAUGGUACAUUUUUCUUGAUAAUCUGUAAAAAGAGUAAAUGCUAGAUUGGCUUUGUAGUGUAGGUAUCAGAAAACAGGUUCUGUGAGGAUCCCAGGUCAUUUCAUAAAGCAGAGUACAGAGGUCACACUUGUGUUUUGCUUUGUGAUCAAUAAAUCACAACCAAAACAUUCCAGGGUACUGUUUUGUAUAAAGCUAAUAUGCUAAAGAUUGGCUUUAGUUUAAGAUGUGUUAGUUUCUGCUGUUAUUUUUGUAUCUCCUGUUAUUGUUUGAUAUGCAGUCAUUUUAACAUCUAUAUCUCUCCCAAUAAAUUAAUAAAUGAACCAACUGACUUGUGUAUUUUCAGCCUUUAUCAACUUGAACAUCAAAGAAGCACUCGCAUUUUCUUUAUAUUUUGUAGAGAA
rnacentral:lncRNA from 1 species